CACAAUUAUUUUGCAAUUACAACUACACUGUUUUCAAAUGUCAUUUGAUACAUAUCAGGGUUAAUUUGCUCGUUUUUAGCCAUAAUAUUUUGUCAAAUUACAUUUAUUAGACGUAAGAUUAAUUAUUCAUUACAGCUAAAUAUUGUAUUGUAUUAAAUAAAUAGUUUAGUUCCAAAACAACAUAAAACUUUGAAUCUUAUUUCUGAAGCUUCAAUAUUGCAUUUGUCUCUGCAAUGUAUUUUACACAGCAUUCCCAGAGUGCAUUUAAACUCCCAGAGUACGCUACUGCUAGCAAAGGAAGUGCAAUCCAUGUUCCUUGUACGUCUCUACCCUAAACCCUAACCCCUACGCUUACCCUAACCUUAACCAUAACCCUUAACUUGACCAUUUUACCUUUCAACUUCAAUGUAAUAGGAACUCCGAGAUAUCACGGACCCUGCUGGCAAGCCCAGACAAAAGCAAAGUAGUCAAAAUAUAUUGUUGUCAUAGGGAAGUUAUUAUAAUGCUCACAUAAAUAUCAUGUUGAAUAUGUUCAUGUCAUUGUCACUCCAAAAAAGUCAUUCAAAUCUAGCUGCUAGUAGAAUAGUGUUACAAUGCAAAUGUCAUGUCAACAAGACCACCUCUGCACUGCACAGAUUUGUAACACAUUUUGCUUAGUUGUUGUGGUGGGUCGGACCUUAUCAUCUGCUAUGUAAGCAAAGUAUCCCCAUACUUCUGGAGACAGUUUUAUCAACAAGCUGCGGGCAUGGAGGUGUGAUGUUUUCGUUAAGGCGGCUGCAUGCUUCCCAGCCGGAAGAGUUUGUGCAUAUAUUAUGACAAUGUUUUGUGACGUUUCUGUUCAUUUUGGAGUUUGUUUUUUUCCGGCUGUUCGGGCACAGUCUACACCCCUUUGUCUGUGAUUGGUCAGCUGUAGGGGUGACCCGAGUUUCUCCUUUUUGUUGAUUUAGCCUGAAACUCAGUGUGUAUUUAACAUGGCGAAUGACAACUUGACCGAGGAGGUACAGAAGUACCUUCACCACUACAAUUCAAGCCAUGCAUUAUAUAAAGACCAGCAUGUAAAUGCCAGUUCUUGGAGGACGAUUGCAGAGACGCUGGGAUCCAAAUGUUUGAAAAGAGGUACAAACACCAGAGAAUGGAGACAGCACCUGGUUCUGUUCUCUGUGCCCCAGCACUGCCUGUUCUUCAUGAAGGACCUGGGAAGCUCUAUCCUGGGCCCACCUCCAAUAUCUAAUCCACUGGCUUGCUCCUCACCGAUGCCACAGAGCAGUAGCACCUUGCUCCUGACCGAUGCCACAGAGCAGUAGCACCUUGCUCCUCACCGAUGCCACAGAGCAGUAGCACCUUGCUCCUCACCGAUGCCACAGAGCAGUAGCACCUUGCUCCUCACCGAUGCCACAGAGCAGUAGCACCUUGCUCCUCACCGAUGCCACAGAGCAGUAGCACCUUGCUCCUCACCGAUGCCACAGAGCAGUAGCACCUUGCUCCUCACCGAUGCCACAGAGCAGUAGCACCUUGCUCCUCAACGAUGCCACAGAGCAGUAGCACCUUGCUCCUCACCGAUGCCACAGAGCAGUAGCAGGGGUGUGAGAAGAAUGGAGAAAAGAGCUGCAGACACAGCCCUUGACAAAUCACUCGCAAAGGCAAUGCAAAUGAUUGAAGACAUACAGUAUGUCAAGAUCUGGAGAACGUCAUACACAGAGCCACCAGAGGUACAUAAAUACAAAUAAUUUCAGACUUUACUCUGAUCCUCUUCCCUCUCUUCUGUUGUCCUUUUUCCUGCUCUCCAGACACCUAUCAUUUCCCCUCUUCUCAUCCUCUCCACCGAGUCCUGGCACCUAUAGCUGAUUUCAAGGAUGAACUCUUGCCAAAACUCCGGGAGGAAUUCUAUCACCAGCUGCAGUUGUUUGUG
ensembl:lncRNA